rnacentral:rRNA from 1 species
GACAGAGGGUGCAAACGUUGCUCGGAAUUACUGGGCGUAAAGAGCGUGUAGGCGGUCAGGUAGGUCCGUUGUGAAAACUCGAGGCUCAACCUCGAGACGCCGAUGGAAACCAUCUGACUAGAGUCCGGAAGAGGAGAGUGGAAUUCCUGGUGUAGCGGUGAAAUGCGCAGAUAUCAGGAAGAACACCCGUGGCGAAGGCGGCUCUCUGGGACGGUACUGACGCUGAGACGCGAAAGCGUGGGGAGCGAACAGG